ACCUCAACCGGAUGUGUUUUGACACUUUGCAGACAGUUUCAAAACGCUUUUAGGAUAUCUACACCCUUAUCAGCUCAACAGUCUGCUCUCACGUUGACCAAAUCUCAGUCUUAUACUCACAGAUUGAAAGGUCCAUGAAGAGACACAGUGGUGAAGGAGAGAGAAGACGCUCUCCGCCUGCUCCAGACAGGUCAGGAGAGAGCAAGACCUGGGGCCUGGAGAAAGGAUGUCUUUGGACAGGUCUACUAGUAUACUGGUCUACUGGCUUCGUCUAGAGAAACACCUCCUAUGCUAAGAACAGAAAGCAGAACGGAGAGAGACAAAAGCAAGCCGGGCUCCAGGAGAAGUUUCCUCAAAUGAAGGCCCGGACAUCAUGAGACUGUUAAUGACCAAUAAACAUUAUUCUCUCUGCUGCCAUUCAGAUUGGAGCUUGUGACUGUAUCUAACUUAAUUUACCCCCUGUUUUUUGCAUAAAUAUGUCUGUCAGUCAUCAGCAUUUAUUUGAUGUUGGUAGACUGUAGCAUUUGUAUGUCUUUCUCUGUAUCAUGAUGCCUUGACAUUGGUUAUUAAUAUUAAAGUGAUGUACAGACUGA